GCUCCUGUGUGUCCCUCCAGCCUUCCUGCAGGAUGCCUCGCUUCGUCUUUUCCGACUGGAAGUAUCGCAAAUCCUGGAGGGUGGAGAGGUGUAAACCGUAACUUACUGUAUAUUCUUCAGACCGAAGCACAACGAGGCAGACGAGCGUCAGGUCGGAGCAGAAGAGAAGCACAAAAAAAACACAGUUAGCCAAUAGCCAUGAAUCCAUUUACGCUGAGAAUAUAGACAACAGAAAAGGGGAAUUUAAGUUGAGCUUAUCCGUACGGCCUUUUUAUUGGAUUAAAUACGUCAAAAAGAGCUCAACAAGUAAGAACUCAUAACAGACAUUAAAACUGAUUUUAAAAAGUUAACAAAUUAGAAUCUACUGUUCAUCACUGAGCAGACAGACAGCAGCGUUAAAGGUGGAGAAAGAAGCGGAGGAAAAUGACAAGAAAAGAAAAAGAAAAGGGCACUGAAGUAGAGCACUAAGCCGCUGCGACCGUACGCGCUGCCAUGGCAACCGCAGAUUACAGAUAAAACAAAAAAAAAUAAGUAAAACAACUUAAAAAAAAAAAAAAAAGUCUUACAGAUUUGAUCUAAAGUUUUACCAGGUUUGAUGCAGGUUUCACCAACUCAUAUUUAAGACGUUUAAGGAUGUUUUUUUAAGACCAUUCCAAAAAAAAUUUAAGACAGAAAUGUUUUUUUUUUGUGUGUGUCAAGGGACCAAAACUGUGAUAUUUGUGGGGUCGUUUUGUAGCUUUUUUCCCCCAGCAGCAGCUUUGUGCUGCUCAGAUGGCGAACUACUCUCCACAGCACUGACCCUCGCAGCGCCAAACUUUUCGGGGUUUUUUUGUUGUUUUUUUUGUUUGUUUUUUUUUGCAUAGAAUGGGUUUGGCAACAGAAGUUAGCAAGUGGCAAAGAUGAAUGUCGUCCAGCCGUCUGAUAAUAAAUUUGCACUCCAUAGACUAAUCAUAGAUAUAAAAAAAAAAAAAAAAAAAGAGUUUUAUUUCACAUUAUUGAAAGCAGAGUUUAGGGGUUAAACGUGCUCUCUAGUUUCUAAUAAACAACACAUUGUACUCCAAAAAAUAAAUAAAAAAUACAUGUGCAAGGCUGCAAACAUUGCUCCAAAAUUGCAAACAAGAUUGCCGAAUUACAUAGCAUAUGUCAGGAGUUUCACAGGGUUUUUU